rnacentral:rRNA from 1 species
CAGAGGGUGCGAGCGUUGUUCGGAAUUACUGGGCGUAAAGCGCGCGCAGGCGGCCCUUUAAGUCCGUCGGUCAAAUGCCGGGCUCAACCCCGAGCGUGCCGAGGAUACUGGAGGGCUGGAGACACGUAGAGGCAAGCGGAAUUCCGGGUGUAGCGGUGGAAUGCGUAGAGAUCCGGAAGAACACCGGAGGCGAAGGCGGCUUGCUGGGCGUGAUCUGACGCUGAGGCGCGAAAGCGUGGGGAGCGAACAGGAUUAGAUACCCUGGUAGUCCACGCCGUAAACGAUGGGCACUAGACGCUGGUGGGAUCGACCCCUUCGGUGUCGCAGCUAACGCGAUAAGUGCCCCGCCUGGGGAGUACGGCCGCAAGGCUG